GUGUUCGUAGAAAUUAGAGAUGGUCGGGAACAGCCUUCGGUUUUACCUGUUAUUGCACACAUCCGGUUAAGGCUACCCACUUCGGUGGAUCUUACCCCAAUUUUUG
rnacentral:ncRNA from 1 species